CUACGUGCCAGCAGCCGCGGUAAUACGGAAGGUCCAGGCGUUAUCCGGAUUUAUUGGGUUUAAAGGGAGCGUAGGCUGGAGAUUAAGUGUGUUGUGAAAUGUAGACGCUCAACGUCUGAAUUGCAGCGCAUACUGGUUUCCUUGAGUACGCACAACGUUGGCGGAAUUCGUCGUGUAGCGGUGAAAUGCUUAGAUAUGACGAAGAACUCCGAUUGCGAAGGCAGCUGACGGGAGCGCAACUGACGCUUAAGCUCGAAGGUGCGGGUAUCAAACAGGAUUAGAUACCCUGGUAGUCCGCACAGUAAACGAUGGAUGCCCGCUGUUGGUACCUGGUAUCAGCGGCUAAGCGAAAGCAUUAAGCAUCCCACCUGGGGAGUACGCCGGCAACGGUGAGACUCAAAGGAAUUGACGGGGGCCCGCACAAGCGGAGGAACAUGUGGUUUAAUUCGAUGAUACGCGAGGAACCUUACCCGGGCU
rnacentral:rRNA from 1 species